AGACCGACUCCGGAAAUGCAGGCUCUCCCCAGACAGUCCACACAGGGCAGCCGAGUGGGGCCACCCAGCCUGACUCUCCUUGGGAGGUUUUCCUAAUUUAUAAAGCUGCUCAUGGCCAGGUGCGGUAUCUCAUGCCUGUAAUCCCAGCACUUUGGGAGGCUGAGGCGGGUGGAUCACCUGAGGUCAGGAGUUCGAGACCAG